UGCAAGUCGAACGAACUCUGGUAUUGAUUGGUGCUUGCAUCAUGAUUUACAUUUGAGUGAGUGGCGAACUGGUGAGUAACACGUGGGAAACCUGCCCAGAAGCGGGGGAUAACACCUGGAAACAGAUGCUAAUACCGCAUAACAACUUGGACCGCAUGGUCCGAGUUUGAAAGAUGGCUUCGGCUAUCACUUUUGGAUGGUCCCGCGGCGUAUUAGCUAGAUGGUGGGGUAACGGCUCACCAUGGCAAUGAUACGUAGCCGACCUGAGAGGGUAAUCGGCCACAUUGGGACUGAGACACGGCCCAAACUCCUACGGGAGGCAGCAGUAGGGAAUCUUCCACAAUGGACGAAAGUCUGAUGGAGCAACGCCGCGUGAGUGAAGAAGGGUUUCGGCUCGUAAAACUCUGUUGUUAAAGAAGAACAUAUCUGAGAGUAACUGUUCAGGUAUUGACGGUAUUUAACCAGAAAGCCACGGCUAACUACGUGCCAGCAGCCGCGGUAAUACGUAGGUGGCAAGCGUUGUCCGGAUUUAUUGGGCGUAAAGCGAGCGCAGGCGGUUUUUUAAGUCUGAUGUGAAAGCCUUCGGCUCAACCGAAGAAGUGCAUCGGAAACUGGGAAACUUGAGUGCAGAAGAGGACAGUGGAACUCCAUGUGUAGCGGUGAAAUGCGUAGAUAUAUGGAAGAACACCAGUGGCGAAGGCGGCUGUCUGGUCUGUAACUGACGCUGAGGCUCGAA
rnacentral:rRNA from 1 species